AGAGAGAGACAUGCGCGCAUAUCAAUAAGCGGAGGAAAAGAAACUAACUAGGAUUCCCUCAGUAACGGCGAGUGAAGCGGGAAGAGCUCAAAUUUGAAAUCUUCAAGGGUUCUCCCUUGACGAAUUGUAGUUUAAAGAAGUGUUUUCUGUUGGAGUUUUGGUAAAAGUUCUUUGGGAUAGGACAUCAUAGAGGGUGAGAAUCCCGUAUUUGACCAUUAUUUCCAGCUUUGUGAUACACUUUCAAAGAGUCGGAUUGUUUGGGAAUGCAGUCCAAAAUGGGUGGUAAAUUUCAUCUAAAGCUAAAUAUUGGUGAGAGACCGAUAGCGAACAAGUACCGUGAGGGAAAGAUGAAAAGAACUUUGAAAAGAGAGUUAAACAGUACGUGAAAUUGUCAAAAGGGAAGCGUUUGACACCAGUGUUGUUUUUCUGAAAAUCAAUUAAAGAACUGUUUAUGCUAAGCUUGUUUAGACUUUAUCAGCUAUCUGUUUAGUUUUGAGCUUUUCUUUAAUGCACUUUUCAGUUAACAAGUCAACAUCAAUUUCUUUUGCUGUGAAAAAGCUUGAGGAAGGUGGCUUGAGAUUCGUCUUAAGUGUUUAUAGCCUCUUGCCUAUGCAGUCGGAGAGAUUGAGGUCUGCAGCGUAGAUCCUUCGGGGCUAAAUGCAUUUGUGCUAAGUUAUAGCAUUUUAUAGACAACUUGUUGACUAUGAUUUGUCUUGCAGCUUACUCGCUUAUGUUAUUUUACCUACGCUUAGGAUGUUGAUGUGAUACUGCGAGCA
rnacentral:rRNA from 1 species